rnacentral:tRNA from 1 species
ACCUGGGCAGCUCAAACUGUAGAGCAUCACACUUUUAAUGUGAGGGUCCAGGUUCAAGUCCCGGUCCAGGCA